GAUGAAGAACGCAGCGAAAUGCGAUAAGUAAUGUGAAUUGCAGAAUUCCGUGAAUCAUCGAAUCUUUGAACGCGCAUUGCGCCCUCUGGUAUUCCGGGGGGCAUGCCUGUCCGAGCGUCAUUUGCAACCCUCAAGCCCGGCUUGUGUGAUGGGUGCCGUCCCCUACGGGACGCGCCCCGAAGGCAAUGGCGGCGUCGCGGUUAUCCGAUCAGCCAAAGUGUAUGGGGCUUUGUCACUCACUUUACGGCCCGGACCGGCGCCAGUCCGAAUCAAUCUUUUUUCUAAAGUUGACCUCGGAUCAGGUAGGGAUACCCGCUGAACUUAAGCAUAUCAAUAAGCGGAGGA
rnacentral:misc_RNA from 1 species